CAGGCCUAACACAUGCAAGUCGAACGGGGUAGCAAUACCUAGUGGCGCACGGGUGAGUAACGCGUGGAUAAUCUGCCUUGGAGUGGGGGAUAACUAGUCGAAAGAUUAGCUAAUACCGCAUAAGACCACAGGAGCUGCGGCUCUAGGGGUCAAAGGUUUUUCGUUCCAAGAUGAGUCCGCGUAAGAUUAGCUAGUUGGUGAGGUAAUGGCUCACCAAGGCGACGAUCUUUAACUGGUCUGAGAGGAUGAUCAGUCACACUGGAACUGAGACACGGUCCAGACUCCUACGGGAGGCAGCAGUAGGGAAUAUUGCACAAUGGAGGAAACUCUGAUGCAGCGACGCCGCGUGAGUGAUGAAGGCCUUCGGGUCGUAAAGCUCUGUCGCAGGGGAAUAACACAAUGAAUGUACCCUGUAAGAAAGGAUCGGCUAACUUCGUGCCAGCAGCCGCGGUAAGACGAGGGAUCCUAGCGUUGUUCGGAAUUAUUGGGCGUAAAGCGGAUGUAGGUGGCUUUGUAAGUCAGAUGUGAAAGCCCAGGGCUCAACCCUGGAAGUGCAUUUGAUACUGCGAAGCUUGAGUGUCGGAGAGGUUACUAGAAUUGUUGGUGUAGUGGUGAAAUACGUAGAUAUCAACAGGAAUACCGGAGGCGAAGGCGGGUAACUGGCCGAACACUGACACUGAGAUCCGAAAGCGUGGGGAUCAAACAGGAUUAGAUACCCUGGUAGUCCACGCCGUACACAAUGGAUACUUGUUGUUGGAGGUAUUGACCCCUUCAGUGACG
rnacentral:rRNA from 1 species